rnacentral:rRNA from 1 species
UGGGGAAUAUUGGACAAUGGGGGCAACCCUGAUCCAGCGAUGCCGCGUGUGUGAAGAAGGCCUGCGGGUUGUAAAGCACUUUCGGAGGGGAGGAAGGCCUGUGAGUCGAAUAGACUGAUGGGAUUGACGUUACCCUCAUAAGAAGCACCGGCUAACUCCGUGCCAGCAGCCGCGGUAAUACGGAGGGUGCAAGCGUUAAUCGGAAUUACUGGGCGUAAAGGGCGCGUAGGUGGUUAGAUAAGUUGACUGUGAAAGCCCCGGGCUUAACCUGGGACGGCCAGUCGAUACUGUAUGACUAGAGUACUGUAGAGGGUAGUGGAAUUUCCGGUGUAGCGGUGAAAUGCGUAGAUAUCGGAAAGAACACCGGUGGCGAAGGCGGCUACCUGGACAGAUACUGACACUGAGGCGCGAAAGCGUGGGGAGCGAACAGGAUUAGAUACCCGCGUAGUCC